rnacentral:snRNA from 1 species
CAGGCUUCUCGGCCUUUUGGCUAAGAUCAAGUGUAGUAUGAUUCUAUGAUUUGAGUAUUUUCUUUUAGCUGGUGGUGAGAAGUCUGCAGCUCUUAGGGUAUUUGCCUCCUUUUCUGAUCAACUAGAUUGCAGAUAAACUAUC